rnacentral:rRNA from 1 species
CCCGUAACGAGCGCAACCCUUGUCCUUAGUUACCAGCACGUUAUGGUGGGCACUCUAAGGAGACUGCCGGUGACAAACCGGAGGAAAGGUGGGGAUGACGUCAAGUCAUCAUGGCCCUUACGGCCUGGGCUACACACGUGCUACAAUGGUCGGUACAAAGGGUUGCUAAGCCGCGAGGUGGAGCUAAUCCCAUAAAACCGAUCGUAGUCCGGAUCGCAGUCUGCAACUCGACUGCGUGAAGUCGGAAUCGCUAGUAAUCGUGAAUCAGAAUGUCACGGUGAAUACGUUCCCGGGCCUU